rnacentral:rRNA from 1 species
UACGAAGGGGGCUAGCGUUGUUCGGAAUCACUGGGCGUAAAGGGCGCGUAGGCGGCUUUAUAAGUCGGGGGUGAAAGCCUGUGGCUCAACCACAGAAUUGCCUUCGAUACUGUAGAGCUUGAGACCGGAAGAGGUAAGUGGAACUGCGAGUGUAGAGGUGAAAUUCGUAGAUAUUCGCAAGAACACCAGUGGCGAAGGCGGCUUACUGGUCCGGUUCUGACGCUGAGGCGCGACAGCGUGGGGAGCAAACAGG